UGGGGAAUAUUGGACAAUGGGCGCAAGCCUGAUCCAGCCAUGCCGCGUGCGGGAAGAAGGCCUUCGGGUUGUAAACCGCUUUUGUCAGGGAAGAAACGGUCUGUCUUAAUACUGCGGACUAAUGACGGUACCUGAAGAAUAAGCACCGGCUAACUACGUGCCAGCAGCCGCGGUAAUACGUAGGGUGCAAGCGUUAAUCGGAAUUACUGGGCGUAAAGCGUGCGCAGGCGGCUUUGCAAGACAGAUGUGAAAUCCCCGGGCUCAACCUGGGAACUGCAUUUGUGACUGCAAGGCUGGAGUGCGGCAGAGGGGGAUGGAAUUCCGCGUGUAGCAGUGAAAUGCGUAGAUAUGCGGAGGAACACCGAUGGCGAAGGCAAUCCCCUGGGCCCGCACUGACGCUCAUGCACGAAAGCGUGGGGAGCAAACAGGAUUAGAUACCCAAGUAGUCCCUGAGCGGGCUGGCAAGGCGCAU
rnacentral:rRNA from 1 species